UCAGAAGCCCUUCUGGAAGGAUUCCUGUGGCUGACCCGGGAGUGGUGGUGAAUUUCUCCAUCAAUUAAAUGGAAAAUGCGGUGGGAAGAUGUGUGCAGGAAGAAAGAACCACAGUGAAGGCUGAAAUCCACGCGUCCGAAUCGGUAGCAGAGACUAAACCUGUUGGUUGGCUGUCCAAGCAAAGAUGAGUGAAUCUGGGGAUUCAUUAACAGAACAGGAGGCUGUGUUCUCCAGUCCAGAGCCUCGACAAAUUGUGAGCAGCAAAUGAAUGUUUCUCACACUGGCCACUGCGCUCCUCAAAGCCUCAUCCAUCAACUACAAUAUCCAGCUCCUCCUUGGUGGACACUUUUGAAUGAGCAAUCAAUGGAAACAGGCAGAGUAGAGUAAGGACCAGUGUUUCUUGAGA